UACAGAGGGUGCAAGCGUUGCUCGGAUUUACUGGGCGUAAAGCGUACGCAGACGGCCACGCAGGUCGGGUGUGAAAUCCCCGGGCUUAACCUGGGAAUGGCAUUUGGGACUGCAAGGCUUGAGUGCGGCAGAGGAGACUGGAAUUCCUGGUGUAGCAGUGAAAUGCGUAGAUAUCAGGAGGAAUACCGAUGGCGAAGGCAGGUCUCUGGGCUGACACUGACGCUCAUGCACGAAAGCGUGGGGAGCAAACAGG
rnacentral:rRNA from 1 species